rnacentral:rRNA from 1 species
AGAGACAGCAGCCGCCGCGGUAAUACGUAGGUCCCGAGCGUUGUCCGGAUUUAUUGGGCGUAAAGCGCGUCUAGGUGGUUAUGUAAGUCUGAUGUGAAAAUGCAGGGCUCAACUCUGUAUUGCGUUGGAAACUGUGUAACUAGAGUACUGGAGAGGUAAGCGGAACUACAAGUGUAGAGGUGAAAUUCGUAGAUAUUUGUAGGAAUGCCGAUGGGGAAGCCAGCUUACUGGACAGAUACUGACGCUAAGGCGCGAAAGCGUGGGUAGCAAACAGGAUUAGAUACCCGCGUAGUCCCUGUCUCUUAUACC